AUCUUUUCGGAGUGAAGACUUUUGUGACUGAGUGGCGGACGGGUGAGUAACGCGAGGGUAACCUGCCUCAUAGAGGGGGACAACAGUUGGAAACGACUGCUAAUACCGCAUAGUAAGAAGGAUUCGCAUGUUUUCUUCUUGAAAGCUUUUGCGCUAUGAGAUGGACCCGCGUCUGAUUAGCUAGUUGGUAAGGUAACGGCUUACCAAGGCGACGAUCAGUAGCCGGCUUGAGAGAGUGAACGGCCACAUUGGGACUGAGACACGGCCCAGACUCC
rnacentral:rRNA from 1 species